CGGGGUGUAGCGCAGCUUGGCAGCGCGCUUCGUUCGGGACGAAGAGGUCGUGGGUUCAAAUCCCGCCACCCCGA
rfam:Streptomyces roseus strain ATCC 31245 contig_58, whole genome shotgun sequence.